rnacentral:rRNA from 1 species
UGGGGAAUUUUGGACAAUGGACGCAAGUCUGAUCCAGCCAUGCCGCGUGCGGGAAGAAGGCCUUCGGGUUGUAAACCGCUUUUGUCAGGGAAGAAACGAGUUUCUCUAAUACAGAGACAUAAUGACGGUACCUGAAGAAUAAGCACCGGCUAACUACGUGCCAGCAGCCGCGGUAAUACGUAGGGUGCAAGCGUUAAUCGGAAUUACUGGGCGUAAAGCGUGCGUAGGCGGUUAUAUAAGACAGAUGUGAAAUCCCCGGGCUCAACCUGGGAACUGCAUUUGUGACUGUAUAGCUAGAGUACGGCAGAGGGGGAUGGAAUUCCGCGUGUAGCAGUGAAAUGCGUAGAUAUGCGGAGGAACACCGAUGGCGAAGGCAAUCCCCUGGGCCUGUACUGACGCUCAUGCACGAAAGCGUGGGGAGCAAACA